rnacentral:rRNA from 1 species
AUUAAACGCUGGCGGCAUGCCUUACACAUGCAAGUCGAACGGCAGCACGGGGGCAACCCUGGUGGCGAGUGGCGAACGGGUGAGUAAAGCAUCGGAACGUGCCCUGGAGUGGGGGAUAACGUAGCGAAAGUUACGCUAAUACCGCAUAUUCUGUGAGCAGGAAAGCAGGGGAUCGCAAGACCUUGCGCUCUGGGAGCGGCCGAUGUCGGAUUAGCUAGUUGGUGGGGUAAAGGCCUACCAAGGCGACGAUCCGUAGCGGGUCUGAAAGGAUGAUCCGCCACACUGGGACUGAGACACGGCCCAGACUCCUACGGGAGGCAGCAGUGGGGAAUUUUGGACAAUGGGCGAAAGCCUGAUCCAGCCAUGCCGCGUGAGUGAAGAAGGCCUCGGUUGG